rnacentral:lncRNA from 1 species
AAGUGUAGGUAUGUAGCAUGGAAAUAACAUAAAGUGUGGUCAAUAGAAUGUCUAUUUCCAACUGGUUCUCUUUAUUGAGAUCAAUCAUAAACUGUAAGGGUACAAAAACUUUAAAACUGAAUAUCUGCGCAGAUAUAACUGAAUUACUGAAUGUAAUGGACAAUACAUAAUUGUAUAAUACAAACUCCUACUAAAAUACAUAAUCCUUAACUGAUUUGACAAUCAUACAAGCAAUAUGCU